AACGAACGCUGGCGGCGUGCCUAACACAUGCAAGUCGAACGAGAAAGGGGCUUCGGCUCCGAGUAAAGUGGCGCACGGGUGAGUAACACGUGGGUAACCUGCCUCUAAGAUUGGGAUAACUCGUCGAAAGAUGAGCUAAUACCGAAUAAGACCACAGUUCCCGCGGGAACAGGGGUCAAAGGUAGCCUCUGCUUGCAAGCUAUCACUUAGAGAUGGGCCUGCGCACCAUUAGCUAGUUGGAAGGGUAACGGCCUACCAAGGCAAAGAUGGUUAGCUGGUCUGAGAGGAGGAUCAGCCACACUGGAACUGGGACACGGUCCAGCCUCCUACGGGAGGCAGCAGUGGGGAAUAUUGCGCAAUGGGCGAAAGCUUGACGCAGCAACGCCGCGUGAGUGAUGAAGGCCUUCGGGUCGUAAAGCUCUGUCGGGAGGAACGAAUGCUCCUGAGGUUAACAGCCUCGGGAGGUGACGGUACCUUCAAAGGAAGCACCGGCUAACUCUGUG
rnacentral:rRNA from 1 species